rnacentral:rRNA from 1 species
GUGCAGCAGGCGCGCAACCUCUGCAAUACGCGAAAGCGUGACAGGGCUACCCCGAGUGCCGUCCGCUGAGGAUGGCUUUUCUCCGGUGUAGUAAGCCGGAGGAAUAAGGAGAGGGCAAGUCUGGUGUCAGCCGCCGCGGUAAUACCAGCUCUCCGAGUGGUAGGGACGAUUAUUGGGCCUAAAGCGUCCGUAGCCGGCCAAGCAAGUUUCCCGUUAAAUCCAGCGAUCCAAUCGUUGGACUGCGGGAAAUACUGUUUGGCUAGGGGGCGAGAGAGGCCAACGGUAUUCCCGGGGUAGGGGUGAAAUCCCAUAAUCCCGGGAGGACCACCAGUGGCGAAGGCUGUUGGCUAGAACGCGCUCGACGGUGAGGGACGAAAGCUGGGGGAGCGAACCGGAUUAGAUACCCGGGUAGUCC